rnacentral:ncRNA from 16 species
GAUUCAUCCUAGGGGUGCUUUGCGAAGCUGAGAGAGACUUUGUCUCAACCCUUUUGACCUGAUCUGGAUCAUGCCAGCGGAGGGAAGCGGUGAAAAGCGGAG